GUGGGGAAUAUUGCACAAUGGGCGAAAGCCUGAUGCAGCAACGCCGCGUGAGGGACGACGGCCUUCGGGUUGUAAACCUCUUUUAGUAGGGAAGAAGCGAAAGUGACGGUACCUGCAGAAAAAGCACCGGCUAACUACGUGCCAGCAGCCGCGGUAAUACGGAGGGUGCAAGCGUUAUCCGGAAGUAUUGGGCGUAAAGAGCUCGUAGGCGGUCUGUCGCGUCGGCUGUGAAAACUGGAGGCUCAACCUCCAGCCUGCAGUGGGUACGGGCAGACUAGAGUGCGGUAGGGGAGAUUGGAAUUCCUGGUGUAGCGGUGGAAUGCGCAGAUAUCAGGAGGAACACCGAUGGCGAAGGCAGAUCUCUGGGCCGUAACUGACGCUGAGGAGCGAAAGCGUGGGGAGCGAACAGGAUUAGAAACCCCAGUAGUCC
rnacentral:rRNA from 1 species